ACCGGGAGUCAGCAGUGGAGAAUAGUGGACUAUGGGGGCAAGCGGUGAUCCCAGCCAUGCCCCCGUGUGUGAAGAAGGCCAUACACCCUUAAAGCACUUUCAGCAGUGUGGAAAGCAGGAACUCCAUACCGGUCAGGGUGGACGUGAUAUUCAGAAGAAGCACCGGCUAUCUCUCUGCCAGCAGACGCGGUAAUAUGGAGGGUGCAAGCGUUUAUCCGAAUUUCUGGGCGUGAAGGGGGUGUAGGCGGUUUGGUAAAAGAGGUGUGAAAACCCCGGGCUCUACCCGGGAAAGGCAAUUUGAAAUGCCUGGCUAGAGUGUCGCGGAGGGCAGUGGAAAUUCCGGGGUAGCGGGGAAAAAUGUAGAUAUCGGGAGGAACACCAGUGGGGAAAAAGGGGGCCUGGGCUGGCACUGACGCUUCAUGCGAAAAAGUGGGUAGCAAACAGGAUUAGAUACCCCGGUAGUCCACGCUGUAAACGCUGAGAACUAGUCGUUGGGGCUAUUAGAAGGGGCAGUGGCGCAGCUAACGCGAUAAGCAUC
rnacentral:rRNA from 1 species